AACGGCCUCCCAGGCCGCGGGGCCGAGCGGCCGGCGCCGGGCGACUGCGCCCGCGAGUGGGACCGCGGCCUGGACCCCGGGGACGAGCCCGACGUCUCCCUUCAGGAGCGCUCCUCGCUCUGUCUCUCGGACUUCCUCCCUCCCUCGCCCUCCCCGGCCGCCCUCCUCGCUCCCUCCCUCCCUCCCUCCCCCCCCACCCCGCCCUGCCCCCUCCUCGCUCCGCGCCGCCGCGCUCACUCCUCCCCCUCCCGACCUGGCGGCCGCCUCCCUCUCUUAUCUCGCUCCCCGCUCUCCAGGGUCUCCUCGCUCUUCAUUCCUCUCGCGGCCUCCUCCCCUUUCCCUCACUCACCCUCUUUCCAAUUGAGGGAUCACAGACUCACUCCGGUUCUGCCAGGGGGACGACCCCCACCCCUCGCAAAACUCGACCACCUCUGACUUCAUGAAAUAUUCUUUCUGUUUGCCCCCCGCAGCAAGCCCCGCGUCCCAUCCCAGGACCCAGCCCCGCCCCUCCGCGCCCCCUUCCUCCUCCUGGCCCGCCGGGCCGAGUGGUGCUGCUGCGGGUGCGGCUGCUCGGAGCCUCCCUGGCCGCCCUCCCCAGGGCCGAUACUGACUCCAUCUGUCAACUUCGUUUAGACUUUGCCGCCCUCAGCCACACGCCGGGGUGCCAGACGCCCAAAGGCGCAAAGUUAAGUCGUGUAGAGGAUUCUCGAACUCCUGCGAGGCCUUUCUAAAUGUGGACGGCGAGAACUCAGUGCUGGGGCCUGGGGGUGUCAGCGUGAUUGAGGAAAUGCUGGAAGAGCACCAGCCUGCACGCUGCAGAGGCCUCUUUAGAAACUUCACAUAACAGCAGAAGAUGCGGACGGGAACAGCAAUAGGAGGACGCGCGGAGGCGGGGGUUGGAGAGAGCAAGGUGGCCGGGAGUGGGAAUUUCACACCUCUCCUGGAGUCUGCUCUCCUUCCUAGGUCCAGAAACCCCCAGACCUCCGGGCCUGAACACCAGCCACCCAGUUCCCAGUGUUUAUUUGGAUAGAGUCUUCCGCUCUCCAAAGGCUUGUGUCCCGGUCAGGGCUCUUUUUAUAGCCACCUUCAUGAGAGAUCUCCCAGUAGCCCCAGAUCUCCUGGCCUGGGCGGUGGGCACGACUCGAUGACCCACUGGCCAGGUCUGAGGGUGCUUGAAGGGGGAAAAAGGGGUCCAAUCUACGAGACCCUCAAGCGAAGACCGGCCUCACCCCAUUUCCGCACUUCCCAAAUUGCCGGGCGCGGGUCCCCUCGGUUGCGAGACCAAAACCUUGGGAUGAUCCCAGGAGCCAGCCCAGCGGCCUGCAGGCCCCGAUCCCAGUGCGCAGGCCGCGGUACCAGGCGGAGCACCUCUUCGACUUCGCCUACAGCCCGCUGCGUUUAGGGGUGGCGAGUUGCGGGGUUGCGGGGAGUGAGUGGAGAGCAGAGGCGGCCCGCUUUGUCCAAAAGGCAGAGAGAAGGGGCUUAGGUUGGAACAGAGUCGGUCUGCGUCUCCCAACGGGGGAAGAAGGGGGGGCACCCAGCGGCUAAAGAAAAUAAGUCAGGAAGCCUGUACCGCAAGUAUUCCUGGAAGCAAGUGUGGGUGCCGGUGGCCCUCAGCAUGUUAACUUUUCGCCCACUGAUGCUGCUGGAAGGGACGUCCCCAUGCUUUAGGUCGCAGGACAGAGCUUGCAGAUGCCUUGGAAACCGGUAGGAGCCAAGCUGCGUCCUGGGAGACCCCCGAGCUCUGCACACCUUCCCUCCGCCCUCCCGGCUGUGGCAACGCUCGGGGGUCGUUUAGGGGUCCGCGUGCCUUUUGCUCCGCGGCCCCCGGCCUCGGAUCCCCUCCUCCCGCCCGCCUUCCCAGGCUGGGGAGAAAGAUGGCUAGGCCGCGCACACACGCUGGGCAGGGUUGGAGGGGCCGCGGGGCCCACCCAGGAGGCGCCCGCGGGGCCUGAAGAGGUCACUCCGGGCACUGCACGCGGGAGGGUGCGCGCCGAGGGCUACGGAAGACACCAGCCAAAGGCGCCCGGAGGUCGCCAGGCCGCGCCUGCGAUGCCCUCCAACCGAGACCAGAGGCUGGCCGGCUGCGGCCGCGCGGGGAAGCGCCCUGGAGGUCCCAACCCAGCCCGGGCAGGGCUUUCUUCUCCCGUCUGGCUGGUCUCCUCCCCGCUGCCCUCCCUUCCCCCAAAUAAAUAAAUAUUUCCGAGGGCGGCGAACUCGGCGGGGCGCCGGGUCCUGAGCGCCUGGGCGAUAGAUGAACUUCCUGGCGCAUCAAAACUCCCCUCUCGUCCUCCCCGCCGAGCUCAGGAUAUGGGGCGCGCUCGCUUCUCUUCAGAAAAGGAAACGUAGCUCUUCCAAAAAUAUAAAUCAGCUCUGACGUCCAAAUAUUUCUUUUGUCCUCCAGCAUCCUCUGUGGGGAUAAAUAAAACGUGCUCGGCGCCCAGAGGCCGACUAGGGACCUCAGGGCGCCCCGACGCCGCCUCCGAGAAGCUGCUUUGGGGAGCCCCCCAACCCCACCCCUCCCCGCAGCCUGGCCAAAGGCCCCGGGCCCCGGAUGCGGCCUGACCUUCGGGCGGGCUGCGGCGGCGGGAGGGAGGGACACAAGCCCUCCGCGGAACCCCGGCGGCCUGCGAAGGCGAAAGGCGCCCGAGGCCGACCCAGUCGGGGAGGGGAGCUCGUUCGCGAUGGGCCAAGAGAGGCCGGGGAAGCUCCGGGCGCGCCCUAGAUGAGUUUGGGCCCCCAGGCUGCCUCUCCAGGCCGAGCUGUGCCAGGGAACCUACGCCCCCUCCCCUUCAUUUCCGUCGGAGUUUCUGACCCCAGGGCAGCCUCCUCCUCGUGGGGACCCAGAGUAGUUCAAGUUUGGAGCACGGAGGGCCCCGACUGCGUCUUUUCCCAGCCGAGGCUGAGGCCGAGGCUGCUGCUCCUCCAGAAGCCAGUCGGCUUUGCGGCCUCAGAGGACACCACUGGCCUGGGGCGUGGCCCUCGAGGCUCUCCGCCCGUCAGACCUGGGGUCGGCUUGAGCCAGGUGACCCUUUCCAGCACCCCUGCCUCCCAACUCCCGCCUCCACCUUGGGGGAGGUGGACAGGUUUUCUGUAGCGGCUUGGAAAUCUAUGCCAAGGUAAACCACAUGCACGAGGGUGGUUGAGAUGCAGGGUUCUACAGGGGCUGAAGGGAGAUCCUCCUAGGGGAGCACGGUGGCUGGAGGCGUGUCCGCACCUCCACUCCCCUUCCUGCUCCCCUGACUCCAAGGCGCUGAGAGCCCACGGGCCUUUCUGCUGCCCUCCUUUCCCAAGAAAUCGCCCCAUGGCACCCACGCGGCCAGUCUGCAAGGCUUUGGGGGUCAAACGGCCCAGGCAAGGAGAAAUCUCCAUCUGCUCAGGGGGAGCUCAUCCUCCCCUCACGCCCUGUGCCCCACACCGAGGACUGUGUUCCAGGCCUGGGGCCUCGGGGCUGCGCGGCGGGGGCUGGUCUCCAGCCGCCCCUUCUCUCCAGGGGGGUCUUUAUUGAUGAGCUGCCUCGAAAACCCCCACCCAGAACGUCCCAGAAGGGUUUAGACAAUCCAUCACCCACCACUUCAAGGAUGCUUCCUCCCUUUCAAACACAAUCCUCGCACACCAGACGGGCUGCGGUGGGGAGGGGCGCGCACUUGAAAAGAGAACAGCUACAUAAUCAACGUCAAAGCCGUCCCGCAACCUUUCGGAAACAGGGACUUGGGCCAAAAAUCCCUCAGGAUGAUUUACGGGGGCCCCCUCGCCCUCUCCGCCUGCCUCCACGUGACUCUGGCCCGCGCCCGCACGGCAGCCGCACACCCUGCCCCGUGCCAGGCAGCCCCGGGCCCCUCCGCGGGGAGUUCGUGUUUUAGGAGAAAGUGCUUUUUUCUCUUGGGGCCCGGGGGAAAAGGGGUCUCGGCCUGGCCAGAGAGUGCUUUGGUGGCUUGGUCGCGGUAUCCUCGUGGGUGAACUGCGAAGGCCGGGCCUGGCCUCUUGGAGUCGUCCCACGCAAGUCACCUUCCCUCCCGCCAGAGCCCCGGGAUUGCGCGGUGCGGGCUGCGCCUCCCUCUCCCCUCCGCGCUGCGCCUCCCUCUCCCCUCCGCGCUGCGCCUCCCUCUCCCCUCCGCGCUGCGCCUCCCUCUCCCCUCCGCGCGGGAGCGGGAAGAAGCCGCAGUUCCUCCGGCUUCCGCGGGGUGGCGCCAGGCUCUCGGGAAUCGCGGCCCGCGGGGCUGCCCGGCGCGGCCGUCACCUGCUCGCGGCUCCCGGCGCCCCGCGACCCGUGGCCCCGCAACCCCUGCAGCCGAGGCCGGCCGGUGUGUGACCCGCAGGCGGGCAGGCUUCUGCAGCAUCGCCUGUCUCGCGCUCGGCUGGCCCGCUUAGGGCACGUCCCGCGUUCCCGCCCUACCCUACCCGGACCCGCAAGAAGAGGGGGCAGCCGAGUCGCGCGUGGGCACCUCUCCGCGGGACGCAAGCGUCUUUAGGCUUUGCUGAAGAAACGAUCAUUCAGUUCCGUUAUUUGGUUCUCUGAAGCAAGGGACGGGGGCUCUGUGUCUUCAUUUGUAAGUUGUCCCGGAGCUCCUGGAGGUGCCCUGCGGUUUGGUGGAAAACAAGCAAAUCAACAAAUCAUCCCACCCGCCCGCCCUUGGAGAAGCUGGAUUCGGCCGACUCUGCGCGGCGUCAGCAUUCUGUCCCUGAGGAAGUACCUCGUCUUUCGGUGGCUACAGGGACAGAAAGACAGCGAUUUUUAAAAAUUGUGAUUUUUCAUUUCUUUUAGCUUCUUAAGAACACCCUUGCAGCUGUCUAAACUCGUCCUGGUAGAAGUCUGCAAGACAGGAAGGAGCUUGAGGGGUCGUUGUGGGGCCGGCUUGAUACAAAGGGGAGGCACCAGGUGACUUACAGCUCUGAGUUUCUUGGCUUUCUUCUGGCUGCUGGAUCUCCAGAAAGGCUGGCAAAUGUUCCCUCCCCCACUCUCACUGCAGGCCGGGUACACGCAGUGGCUGUAAACGGUGAAAAGGAGUGCUGUUUCCUUCAGUCACCAGAGUUAAUCCCAGGAUGCCUUCCAUAUAUGCCCGACAACAUAAUGUAUCACAAGAGCACGUGUCCUUUGAAAAUAUCUGCAGAUGCAGGCUCUGGGCCGCCCUGUGGGAGGCGGCGGGACAGCGGAGGACCCUCACCUUCCACGCGCGCCACAGCGUGGCAGGAGCCCGGCGGCCGGCGACUGUCUUCCCCCCGAGUACGCCAGGACACCAGGGGGCCCGGCACCCCUACUCUACCCUGUAGGCUCGCAGCCUGGCUCUGAAAGUGGAACCUGCAGUAUGAAAUACUAAGCACGUCAACGCUUUUCCCAGUUCAUUUUUUUUUUUCUGUGCUUUCCACCCUCCCUCCUGCUCCAGAAUACCCUGCACUUACCACCUACGUGAUCUGGAACAAGUUACUUUGUUUCUGCACCUCGGUUUUUUGACUUCUACGAUUGGGAUCAUUAUAAUGCCUAACAGUGUUGCUGGGAGGAUUAAACGAAUUAAUACAAGCCAAGCUCUUAGAACCGCGUGCGGCACGUGGGAAGCGCUCUAUAAACGUCGGCCCU
rnacentral:lncRNA from 1 species